UUCAUGAUACUGAUUAGGACACUCUUAUUGGAAUGAAGAGAAUAAGUCUAGAAGUAACUGUUGGUGUAUGAACAAAGUCCGACAUUGAUAGUUAAUAAGAACAAGAAGCCUGAGAAAUGGCUACCACAUCCAAGGAAGGCCGCAGGCUUGCAAAUUACCCAAUCCUGACAUGGGGAGUUAGUGACAAUAAAUAACAAUACCGGACUCUUUGAGUCUGGUAAUUGGAAUGAGUACAAUCUAGAUCCCUUAACAAGGAUCCAUUGGAGGGCAAGUCUGUUCCAACAGCCACGGUAAUUCCAGCUCCAAUAGCGUAUAUUUAAGUUGUUGCAGUUAAAAAGCUCGUAGUUGGACUUUGGGAUGGGCCGAUCGGUGGAACAUACCAGUUUUCUUUUGAGAAUUUUGAUACUGGUUCUCAUUUAAUCAUGUAUUACAUUAAGCAAAAGAUAAUGAGGUACAAAUGUUUCUUUAUGGCAAGGUAGACAUUUUCAUGAUACUGAUUAGGA
rfam:Nicotiana sylvestris Nsyl_contig36048, whole genome shotgun sequence.